GCUCGGUUAACUCAGCUGGUUAGAGUGUCGUACUAAUAUUUCCACCACGGAAUGUCAAGUAAUGCGAAAGUCAUGAGUUCAAUCCUCAUACUGAGCA